AUUCACUUAUUUUUAAGCAGUAGUAUGCUUCACUUGUGAACUCGGUGCUUCAGCAUGCCACUUAAGAGACUGCUCCAUUUAAGUGAUUGUCACUCAAAUUAGUCCCAUUGUUUUGUGAUGCAUAGUCUUCUAUACUGUCUGGAUUAGCCAGUUCAGUGACAGUGACAAACGUGCAUUGGUUACUGUUAGAGAGAGGAAUCUCACAUGGGAAAGCACAUGUACAUCCAGUCAGGACUCAUGCAUUUCCCAACAGAGAGAGAGAGGGAGAGUUAUAGCAAACUGGUGCGAUACUACUCUAUGAUCAAUUUUACAGAUGUGAUGAAGUACCAAGGAUCAAGGAGGCAAUUGCAAAUGGCACAGAAGCCUAAACUAUGCUGAAAGGACUGGAAGCAAUAAAUUAUUCCUCAAAGCUCUACUCUGAAACAAGACCUUUACAAAGUAGACAAUGCGGAGAUCUGUUAGGCAUUUAGCUCUCUAUUCAGUUGGAGCAUACCAUAAAGCUAAAACCAGAUCAGUCAAAGGAACCACAGGAGUUUCCAGCUUUAUUUGAUUCGGAGAACCAGAUGAAAAUUUCCUUUACAAAUACAGUAUGUUUGGGCCUUCAGCUGUAGUGAGGUACCACUGGAGAACGAUAGUUUAUCAUUCACAGCAGUGAAAAAGGAGGUCAUACAGGGAUCACCUCUCCAAUGACAUAAACAUGAGACUUUUCUCACAAGAUGUCAAACUUCAAUUGUUGGUGAGAACUGUUGUGUCAGUGUUUCAUAAUAAUUGCUUCUAAGUCUUGUUAAAGGUCUAACACAAAUUACCUGAGUGACAUGCUUUUGGCACCAGUAAAGGAACAAUGUGGGGAAUGCACGUGGUGUAACAGACUUGCUUAUUACGAUUUUGUUUGAGUUUAUUGCAGCAAUUUUACCAUUACUUCCCAUUAUUCGAAAUACCGUAAUAAGAGUUGCAAGUUGUCUCAUGCUCACAAGGAAACAUUUGUUCCCUGGGUAAUAGACUAGCUGGCCAACAUAAGCUCAUUCAAAACAAUAAUUUUUUUUUUUUUUUUUAAGAAGAGGUGUUCCAAACAAACUGAAAAAGUUAAUCCUUUCACUUGUGAAGGCCUUUCUUUAGGCUUAAAAAGUAAUAUUGACUGUCUUCGCACUGCAACUCAGAUAUUGUUUCAUUUACAACUCAUGCAAUAAAUGGAUGGCCGAUUAGUAUAUACUAAUGGAA
rnacentral:lncRNA from 1 species